rnacentral:rRNA from 1 species
AUCUAUAGCCAUACUACCCUGAACAUGCUUGAUCUCAUCUGAUUUUGGAAGCUAAGCAGGUUCAGGCCUGGUUAGUACUUGGAUGGGAGGCAAUACUGGGGCAAAAUU